rnacentral:rRNA from 1 species
CAGUAGCCACGGUAAUACGUAGGUGGCAAGCGUUGUCCGGAAUUAUUGGGCGUAAAGCGCGCGCAGGUGGUUUAAUAAGUCUGAUGCGAAAGCCCACGGCUCAACCGUGGAGGGUCAUUGGAAACUGUUAAACUUGAGUGCAGGAGAGAAAAGUGGAAUUCCUAGUGUAGCGGUGAAAUGCGUAGAGAUUAGGAGGAACACCAGUGGCGAAGGCGGCUUUUUGGCCUGUAACUGACACUGAGGCGCGAAAGCGUGGGGAGCAAACAGGAUUAGAGACCCCAGUAGUCCCUGUCUCUUAUAC